UACGGAGGAUGCGAGCGUUAUCCGGAUUUAUUGGGUUUAAAGGGUGCGUAGGCGGUCCGGAAAGUCAGCGGUAAAAGCCCGGGGCUCAACCCCGGCCCGCCGUUGAAACUGGCAGUCUCGAGUUGGAGAGAAGUAUGCGGAAUGCGUGGUGUAGCGGUGAAAUGCGUAGAUAUCAGGAGGAACACCGGUGGCGAAGGCAGCAUACCGGCGCUCAACUGACGCUCAUGCACGAAAGCGUGGGUAUCGAACAGG
rnacentral:rRNA from 1 species